rnacentral:rRNA from 1 species
GACGAACGCUGGCGGCGUGCUUAACACAUGCAAGUCGAACGGAAAGGCCCUGCUUUUGUGGGGUGCUCGAUUGGCGAACGGGUGAGUAACACGUGAGUAACCUGCCCUUGACUUUGGGAUAACUUCAGGAAACUGGGGCUAAUACCGGAUAGGAUCUCCUGCUGCAUGGUGGGGGUUGGAAAGUUUCGGCGGUUGGGGAUGGACUCGCGGCUUAUCAGCUUGUUGGUGGGGUAGUGGCUUACCAAGGCUUUGACGGGUAGCCGGCCUGAGAGGGUGACCGGCCACAUUGGGACUGAGAUACGGACCAGACUCAUACGGGAGGCAGCAGUGGGGAAUAUUGCACAAUGGGCGGAAGCCUGAUGCAGCAACGCCGCGUGCGGGAUGACGGGCUUUGGGUUGUAAACAGAUUUCGACUGUGCUGAAGCGUGAGUGACGGUAAUGGGUAAAGAAGCACCGGCUAACUACGUG